rnacentral:tRNA from 1 species
UCUUCCAUGCCGUAGGAGCGAUAGACGGCGCACCACCGCUGGUAGUGCUCGGGAGUACGCAUCACCGGUUCGAAAUCCAGUUGGAUGUAC